rnacentral:rRNA from 1 species
CGAGUGCGAGGGCAUAUAGCCCUCGCUUUUUCUGCACCGUAAGGUGGUGCAGGAACAAGGACUGGGCAAGACCGGUGCCAGCCGCCGCGGUAAUACCGGCAGUCCAAGUGAUGGCCGAUAUUAUUGGGCUAAAGCGUCCGUAGCUGCUGUGUAAGUCCAUUGGGAAAUCGACCAGCUCAACUGGUCGCCGUCCGGUGGAAACUGCACAGCUUGGGGCCGAGAGACUCGACGGGUACGUCCGGGGUAGGAGUGAAAUCCUGUAAUCCUGAACGGACCACCAAUGGCGAAAGCACGUCGAGAGACCGGACCCGACGGUGAGGGACGAAAGCUAGGGUCUCGAACCGGAUUAGAUACCCGGGUAGUCCUAGCUGUAAACGAUGCUCGCUAGGUGUGCCGCAGGCUACGAGCCUGCGCUGCGCCGUAGGGAAGCCGAGAAGCGAGCCGCCUGGGAAGUACGUCUGCAAGGAUGAAACUUAAAGGAAUUGGCGGGGGAGCACCACAACCGGAGGAGCCUGCGGUUUAAUUGGACUCAACGCCGGACAUCUCACCGGUCCCGACAGUAGUAAUGACGGUCAGGUUGACGACUUUACCCGACGCUACUGAGAGGAGGUGCAUGGCCGCCGUCAGCUCGUACCGUGAGGCGUCCUGUUAAGUCAGGCAACGAGCGAGACCCGCAUCCGUAGUUGCCAGCAAUACCCACGUGGUAGUUGGGUACACUACGGAGACUGCCGCUGCUAAAGCGGAGGAAGGAACGGGCAACGGUAGGUCAGUAUGCCCCGAAUGGACCGGGCAACACGCGGGCUACAAUGGCUCUGACAAAGGGAUGCGACGCCGAGAGGCGAAGCUAAUCUCGAAACGGAGUCGUAGUUCGGAUUGCGGGCUGAAACUCGCCCGCAUGAAGCUGGAUUCGGUAGUAAUCGCGUGUCAGAAGCGCGCGGUGAAUUCGUCCCUGCUCCUUGCACACACCGCCCGUCAAAGCACCCGAGUGAGGUCCGGAUGAGGCCAGCAUGCGCU